AGGAGGCAGCAGUGAGGAAUCUUCCGCAAUGGACGAAAGUCUGACGGAGCAACGCCGCGUGAGCGAUGAAGGCCUUCGGGUCGUAAAGCUCUGUUGUUAGGGAAGAAUAAGUGCUAGUUGAAUAAGCUGGCACCUUGACGGUACCUAACCAGAAAGCCACGGCUAACUACGUGCCAGCAGCCGCGGUAAUACGUAGGUGGCAAGCGUUGUCCGGAAUUAUUGGGCGUAAAGCGCGCGCAGGCGGUUUCUUAAGUCUGAUGUGAAAGCCCCCGGCUCAACCGGGGAGGGUCAUUGGAAACUGGGAAACUUGAGUGCAGAAGAGGAAAGUGGAAUUCCAAGUGUAGCGGUGAAAUGCGUAGAGAUUUGGAGGAACACCAGUGGCGAAGGCGACUUUCUGGUCUGUAACUGACGCUGAGGCGCGAAAGCGUGGGGAGCAAACAGGAUUAGAUACCCCGGU
rnacentral:rRNA from 1 species